rnacentral:tRNA from 1 species
AUCAUUUUGGCAGAUUUAGUGCCUUGAAUUUAGAAUUCAAUUAAGUAAAAAUAUUUUACAUAUGAUA